GACGAACGCUGGCGGCGUGCCUAAUACAUGCAAGUCGUUCGCAGUUGCGAACGGGUGAGUAACGCGUAGGUAACUGCCUGGUAGUGGCCGUGAACUAUUGGAAACUAUAUCUAAUACCGCAUACUACGAGAUGGACCUGCGUUGUAUUAGCUAGUUGGUGGGGUACCGGCCCACCAAGGCAACGAUACAUAGCCGACCUGAGAGGGUGAUCGGCCACACUGGGACUGAGAAACGGCCCAGACUCCUACGGGAGGCAGCAGUAGGGAAUCUUCGGCAAUGGACGGAAGUCUGACCGAGCAACGCCGCGGGAGUGAAGAAGGUUUUCGGAUCGUAAAGCUCUGUUGUAAGAGAAGCGGUAUCUUACCAGAAAGGGACGGCUAACUACGUGCCAGCAGCCGCGGUAAUUC
rnacentral:rRNA from 1 species